CAAUUUCCGUUUUCCUCAGUUCGCGCCGUUUUGUUUUUGUUUGGCUCACAGUCCGCACAUCAUGAGGAGAAGUACACGUUGGCCAACCCUUCAGGUCUGAUUCACUCACGCAUGACUAACUUACCUCCUUUCACUGCGACCUGAACAUUCACAUAUCUGCCAGCGAUGUUGCAGACUCAAACCUCAUUGUUGUGGUCAACUCUGCUCCGUGUCCCAAGUCUGCCACUGACAGCAAACUGGUAACACUGGAAAAGCCGUCUUUAGGAGGGUUUCCACUGUGAAGAGGCCUCUGGAGUAUCAAGCAAUCAAAUCCUUUCGAGGCUUCGUCUGUUGACAUUUGGGGAAACGGGCACUCACCGAGAAGGCCGGCUAACUCGUAGGCUUUCUUCUGCUCGAUGGUCUCGUAGUUCAGCGCCUCAAAGAAGAUGUCCAGCACCAUGAUGUUGUCUCUAAAGGGCAGAACGCAAGAGAGAGGUAUUUGGCGGAGGCUUUGCUGGGGAUCCUGACGAAGGACAACUCUUUGCCAUAUCGCGUCAUGUUGCAGGGUGUCUCGCAGACGCAGUAGUCAUUAUCUCUCUCCACCAGGAAAUCUAAAACCCCAGACAAAAAAAGACAAGAGCGUUUCUCUUAACCUCCGAAAUCCUGGUUAAAAAACACGGGGGACAGAUGAUGAGGUAUGAAAAGGCCCAGGGAAGUGGGUGGCGAGGUUAGCGGGGGUCAUAAAUCGAGCUGUCCGGUCAUGGCCUCGGGUUUAGACAUGGGUAAUGAGGAGCGGAUGAGUUCAGCGGGAAAGAAACGGCCUCUAGACUCAAAUGUUUCAGGGAGGAGAAGGCAGAUUUCUUACCUAGAGCUGGAUCCGCACAUUCCUUAUACUGCUCCGGAGUGCAAUAUGGAGCAUCUCCUAAAGACAAAAACAGAGCAGAUGAGCAAAGAAAAUGGCUGUGGUUUGAGUUAAGGCUGCACUAUAUAUCGUUUCAGCAUGGAUAUCACAAUUCACAAUAGUCCCAUCACACAAUACUG
rnacentral:lncRNA from 1 species